AUUGAACGCUGGCGGCAGGCUUAACACAUGCAAGUCGAGCGGAGAUGAGGUGCUUGCACCUUAUCUUAGCGGCGGACGGGUGAGUAAUGCUUAGGAAUCUGCCUAUUAGUGGGGGACAACAUUCCGAAAGGAAUGCUAAUACCGCAUACGUCCUACGGGAGAAAGCAGGGGAUCUUCGGACCUUGCGCUAAUAGAUGAGCCUAAGUCGGAUUAGCUAGUUGGUGGGGUAAAGGCCUACCAAGGCGGCGAUCUGUAGCGGGUCUGAGAGGAUGGUACGCCGCACUGGGACUGCGCAACAGCCCAGACUCCGACAGGAGGCAGCAGGGGGGAAUAUUGGACAAGGGGGGAAACCCUAAUCCAGCCAUGCCGCUUGUGUGAAGAAGGCCUUAUGGUUGUAAAGCACUUUAAGCGAGGAGGAGGCUACUGAGACUAAUACUCUUGGAUAGUGGACGUUACUCGCAGAAUAAGCACCGGCUAACUCUGUGCCAGCAGCCGCCGUAA
rnacentral:rRNA from 1 species